rnacentral:tRNA from 1 species
GGGCGAUUAGCUCAGCGGUUAGAGCGCCUGUCUUACACACAGGAGGUCAGUGGUUCAAGUCCACUAUCGCCCACCA